rnacentral:rRNA from 1 species
GAUGAACGCUGGCGGCGUGCCUAAUACAUGCAAGUCGAGCGAACGGACGAGAAGUUUGCUUCUCUGAUGUUAGCGGCGGACGGGUGAGUAACACGUGGAUAACCUACCUAUAAGACUGGGAUAACUUCGGGAAACCGUAGCUAAUACCGGAUAAUAUUUUGAACCGCAUGGUUCAAAAGUGAAAGACGGUCUUGCUGUCACUUAUAGAUGGAUCCGCGCUGCAUUAGCUAGUUGGUAAGGUAACGGCUUACCAAGGCAACGAUGCAUAGCCGACCUGAGAGGGUGAUCGCCCACACUGGAACUGAGACACGGUCCAGACUCCUACGGGAGGCAGCAGUAGGGAAUCUUCCGCAAUGGGCGAAAGCCUGACGGAGCAACGCCGCGUGAGUGAUGAAGGUCUUCGGAUCGUAAAACUCUGUUAUUAGGGAAGAACAUAUGUGGAAGUAACUGUGCACAUCUUGACGGUACCUAAUCAGAAAGCCACGGCUAACUACGUG